CCUACGGGUGGCAGCAGUGGGGAAUAUUGCGCAAUGGGCGAAAGCCUGACGCAGCAACGCCGCGUGAGGGAUGACGGCCUUCGGGUUGUAAACCUCUUUUAGCAGGGAAGAAGCGAAAGUGACGGUACCUGCAGAAAAAGCACCGGCUAACUACGUGCCAGCAGCCGCGGUAAUACGUAGGGUGCAAGCGUUAUCCGGAAUUAUUGGGCGUAAAGAGCUCGUAGGCGGUUUGUCGCGUCUGCUGUGAAAAUCUGAGGCUCAACCUCGGACUUGCAGUGGGUACGGGCAGACUAGAGUGCAGUAGGGGAGAAGGGAAUUCCUGGUGUAGCGGUGGAAUGCGCAGAUAUCAGGAGGAACACCAAUGGCGAAGGCACUUCUCUGGGCUGUAACUGACGCUGAGGAGCGAAAGCGUGGGGAGCGAACAGGAUUAGAUACCCUAGUAGUC
rnacentral:rRNA from 1 species